UAGAACCUGAGUGAACCGAACCAGAGGCCGAUCGGAAUAUCUCGAAGGCCCGUCUCACCCGCGAGUUCUCUCCCCCCUUGAUCGAACGCGUUGCCGCCGGAAAGCCCUAGCGCUUCUGUUCGUCGCUCUUCGCGGUUAGGUAUUGCCGGCGAAGUCGUCGCUCGCAGCGGCCGCUGCCUGCGGAAUCUUUUUCUUGUUGAAUUGACACAACCAAAAUUAGGAACAAAAGGGGCAGAAAGGAUGUUACUACGAGUCAGUUGGGACCUGGCUAAAGCUGGCUUUGGUAGCAGAAAUCUCACACUGUGGAAUAUGGCUUCCAAGCUUGGACUCUUGUCACUGAAGCUCUCCACUACUGCUGUCAGCAGCAACAAAGUUGUAGAUGUAGCUGCUCAAGAAGGUGAAUUUAGGGUGUUCAUAGUGGCUGGAGAGGUCUCUGGAGAUUCUAUUGCUUCUCGCCUAAUGGUAUCCCUCAAGAAGCUGUCUCCAUUACCAGUCCGAUUUGCUGGAGUUGGGGGGUCAGCUCAUUUACUUCUCUUUAAUUCUUCUUCAGCAUUGAUUAUAUGUUCUUGAUGUCUAAGGAAGGUUUACAAACCCUGUUUCCUAUGGAAGAAAUUUCAGUAAUGGGCUUAUGGGAAUUGUUACCACAUCUAAAUACAUUUAGGAAGAAGUUGAAAGAAACCACAGAAGCUGCUCUUCUUUUUCGACCACAUGUUGUAAUUACUGUUGACUCAAAGGGAUUUUCUUUCCGCUUACUAAAGCAGCUGAAAGCAAAAUAUUUGCUGGAAGACACGUGUCCUGUUCAUGUUCACUAUGUUGCACCAUCCUUUUGGGCAUGGAAAGGUGGUGAAGCUAGGCUUCAAAAUUUAUGUAAAUUUGUGGACCAUAUGUUGUGCAUUAUUCCCUUUGAAGAAGAAAUUUGCAGGUUGAAUGGAUUAGCUGCUACGUAUGUUGGCCAUCCAUUGUUGGAAGAUGCUCUAAUGCUUAACUUGCUCACUUAAUAUGAUGUUUGCCCAAUGCCCUUGAACGUCAAAGUGAAGAAAUUCAACCAAUUGUGGGUAAUUGGUGUGAGUAAUUAUGACUUUCUUAAGGUAGUCAAACUCCCUCAUCUAAUUAAUGACAUAUCUGAAUAGAUUAAUUAAAUUUCCACUAUGUUUGUCUACUGUCCAACAAAACCACAGCCAAGCCUGGCAAAAUCAGCAGGGAAAGAGGACUCUGUUGAGCUCGACGCUAGUCCAACUUUGUCAAACAAGUCUCUGCUGAUCUUGACCCCAGUCCAACUUUGUUAAAUGAUUUGAGAGGUGUAGAAUAAGUGGGAGCUGGCUCGCCAAAUCACUAACUAAACUUUAUUUGAACAAAGGAGUUCUGAAGCAAGGUUUUAGAGCUACUGACCCCCACAAUGGAUCGGUGCCUUGGAGGCUGUUGAAAAGGUAAAAUUUCCUUCAUAGCUCCACUACCAAAAAUACUGAUCAGAUGCAAAUUUACCUCCAAUGCUUGAUUCUAUUAUAGUGCUUUAUCAGAGUAUCUUUAGCCACUGGUCAAGAGAACUUGAGCCUCUACAAUGGCUGCCAGUAUUGGAUACCCACUACAAUCAUCUUUGAGCCACAGGAGACAAACAUAUCCUGAGACUGAUUGCAGAACACCCUUUUAUCCAUCACAUACACCAGAAGAGCUCUUGACUCAAGACACUUGCUUCAACUGGUAUAUUAGAGUAGCAGAAGUCCCAUGCCUGCAUGAAUCCCUGCCAUAAAUGAGACCAUUUGCCAUCAGCUGAUAUUACCAUCCAAUAGCCAUUUUGUAGAUAUGUGACUUAGUAGUUGAAACCAAGGCAGCAAUGGCUUAAUCAGCCAUUUCGACCACCACCAACACAAUAAGGCUAGAUUGAACUCAACAACCCUAUUCCACUAUAGUCUUGGCCAACAAAGAAAUUUCUAUGAUGCCAAAUGCCAAACUUUAGAGCUUUUCAUUGUAUUCUGUUGUCCAAAAAAGUUCCUCAGCAUCUGCUUCAGUUGCUUCGUAAUCCUUUGUGGCAAGACAUAAACUAGUAAAGAAGAUAGGUGCUAUAUCCUUCUCUUAGGAAGCUAUCUCAUCUUGAUUAUGUUUAGCGUGUCAAUCAGUCCAUACACCAACUAAUAAAGUAUGAUUUUGUUUUUCAUUUGCUGUGCUAUUAAUAGUCGUGUAUCAUCAUGAUAAUUUGUUAUUACUAAUCUGACUGUAUUUGUUUUUUAAUAAUUUGUUUGUUUGUUUAUUACUAUUUGAUCUCAUUGAUCUUACACAUAGAUCUUAUGAUUCUCGCCCAACAAAGUUACAUUAUCAAUGGAUUUUACCUACUCAAUUCUCCUAUAGGAAGAGUGACAACCUUUCCCUCAAUCACCCUGAAAUCAUGAUCACUUCAGCGAUCAAAAUUCCUUUGCGGUCGUCACUCAAUGCCUCUUUAAUCAUCCACUGUUCUACCUCCACUUCCACCUUGCUUUAGCUUAACCGGAAUGAACUCCUCUUCUAUGAAAUCUAAUGCUUUUUAUCCAUUUUUUAGAUCUAUUCUCAUCUACGUUUUCUUCUUUUUACCAUGUCUAUCCUUAGUUGUAUACAUUAAAAGACUAUUGAUUGAAUGAAACAAGAGAUCUUGAUCGAUUCAUCCAACUUGUGUCCAAUUACAGUCAAUAUUUCUAGUUUCCUCAUGGUGUGUGAUCAAUUGAUCAAGAAAUUGGGAAAGCACAGCCUUGGUUAUUUUCCUAUUUUCAAUCUAUGGUUGGUGUUUUCAUCCGACAAGUAUUAAUGAUAUAUGGCUGACAUGUUAAAUAUGUUAUUAUAGUUAAAGGUGGCCGACAGGAACUUAUGAAAUAUUCACAUAUUGCCAAGUAGAUACAACAUGCAACCUUAUGUGCAGAUUCAUAAAGAAUAUACCAGAUUAGUUAUAUUCACAAGUAGUCUAAUUUAAUACCACUAAUAAUUUAGUCAAGAUAACCUAUCUCAUAUCCAAAUUAAGGAAAUGCUAAUAGGAUCUAUUUUUGCAAUAACCUAAAAAUGUGUUGCCAUCAUUGCUUAAUGCCAUCAUCAUGAUAAUCACCGUUGAAUUCUUCACAGUCAUCAUGCUUAGAGAGUCUAUUAGCUCAUAAGGAAACCAUAUCUCCCUUAGAAGUAAGUCUAUCUUUGGUCUCUUAUUGCUCUAAGCCAUCAAUCUCUUGUUCCUUUGCAUUUGUCUUGUCUUUGUACUCUAACCUAAUGAUCUAUUUGGUUUUGAUCAACCCAUGUCUGAGAUAAUCAAGCCAUUCCGACUCAGCAUUUUUUGACAUCUUGUGUUGUUUAUUCAAGCUGAAGAUGAGUUUUCUGAUUAUUCUAUAUUUUAUUGCACAUAGCAUCAAUUAAACCUUGAGCCAUUUGUAUGUUUGAUACUGUCAUGCUCAUUGGAACUGGUUUAUUAGGAAUCUGCUUUUAUGUCAAAUAAUUUGAAGGUGCAUAAGUCUGGUGAUGUUUUUCGUCGUGAACAUGGGAUACCUCCUGGUAAGAUUACUUUCCUUUGAUAAUCAUUUUAUUACUGUUUCCUCGAGAUUAAUAUUUCUUGAUUAUAGAUGGGAAAAAAAUUCAAAUCUGUUGUACACUUCUCUAUUUUUAUACUGUGGGGGUCCAGGGCUUGUACAUGGCUCAGAUUUUAAUAAGUUAGAGAUUGGUUAUCCUUGGUAAUGCUUAUGUGACAAUAUGCAGUAGUAUGGUUUCUCACUCAAUAAAAGCAACUAUUUUGAGGCUUUUAUUACCAAUCUCAAUUUCAAUCGUCAUGCAAAUCUGAAGAAUAAAUUAUUUAGUUUUUACUUCAGUAGAGGUCAUCUAAGUAUGUUUUUCUGCUGUUCAUUAGCCUUGAUUUGUGGGAAUUAGUUUACCUAACCUGAAUUUACCUGGCAGGAGCAACAGUUAUUACUUUACUUCCUGGAAGCCGACUCCAAGAAGUUAAACGUAUUCUUCCAAUAUUCUUGAGAACAAUAGAAAUAAUAAGAAACUCAUUCUCAGAGUUAUCAGUUAUCAUUCUUGUUGCACCAAAUAAUCAUGUGAAGGACUUGGUGGACAAGAUAAUCAAGUCAUCAUCACUGCCAGCCAUACUUGUCCCUGGUGCAUCAUUAGACCAGAAAUAUGAGGCAUUCAGUGCAAGUACGGCUGCUUUAUGUGCUUCAGGAUCAGCUGUUAUUGAGUUGCAACUAGCAAGGCUACCUUGUAUUGUUGCAUACCAAACUCAUAUUUUGACAGAAUUGGUAAUUCAUUAUAGAACAAAGUUGAAGUAUAUAUCACUUCCAAACAUUCUUAUGAAUACAUCCAUUAUUCCAGAGGUCCUUUUCCGAGAUUGUACACCUGGGAAUCUAGCCACAAUCUUAAGUGAAUUGAUUCUUGAUAAGAAAAUCCAAGAACAACAAACUUCAACUGCUGAAAAGUUCCUAGGGCUUCUCUGUCCUCCCAGUAAAAAUGUGAACAUGUUGCGUGGAAAUUUGUCAUCUGGAAUCAUUUGGUGCCCUAGCAUGAUUGCAGCCUCAACCAUAUUAUCCAUUCAGAAACAAAAGCGAGACUAGAAUCAAGUUUGUUUCAAUACUGUUGUUACAUUCUUUGUUGUUGUUUCGAUGUGCCGACCUAGCCCAAGAGAUUCACCCUUUAGCCUAGGGUCUUUGAACAAGUGUGAUCAAUAAAUUUACAUAUAUUUUAGAAAUCAAAAGAAGUCUCAAUCAAA